rnacentral:rRNA from 1 species
UACGUAGGGGGCAAGCGUUUGCCGGAAUUAUUUGGGCGUAAAGAGCUCGUAGGCGGCUGUCGCGUCGGAUGUGAAAGCCCGGGGCUUUAACUCCGGGUCUGCAUUUCGAUACGGGCAGGCUAGAGUUUCGGUAGGGGAGAUCGGAAUUCCUGGUGUAGCGGGUGAAAUGCGCAGAGUAUCAGGAGGAACACCGGGUGGCGAAGGCGGAUCUCUGGGCCGAGUACUGACGCGAGGAGCGAAAGCGUGGGGAG